rnacentral:rRNA from 1 species
AGAGUUUGAUCCUGGCUCAGGAUGAACGCUAGCUACAGGCUUAACACAUGCAAGUCGAGGGGCAGCAUUGGAGUAGCAAUACUCAGAUGGCGACCGGCGCACGGGUGAGUAACACGUAUCCAACCUGCCGCUUACUCGGGGAUAGCCUUUCGAAAGAAAGAUUAAUACCCGAUGGUAUAAAGAGUUCGCAUGUUCUCUUUAUUAAAGAAUUUCGGUAAGCGAUGGGGAUGCGUUCCAUUAGAUAGUUGGCGGGGUAACGGCCCACCAAGUCUACGAUGGAUAGGGGUUCUGAGAGGAAGGUCCCCCACAUUGGAACUGAGACACGGUCCAAACUCCUACGGGAGGCAGCAGUGAGGAAUAUUGGUCAAUGGACGAGAGUCUGAACCAGCCAAGUAGCGUGAAGGAUGACUGCCCUAUGGGUUGUAAACUUCUUUUAUAAGGGAAUAAAGUGAGGGACGUGUCCCUUUUUGUAUGUACCUUAUGAAUAAGGAUCGGCUAACUCCGUGCCAGCAGCUGC